rnacentral:rRNA from 1 species
CGUGGAGGGGCGCUGAGAUGGCGAAGUAAGGAAUGAAGGCCGCGGACACGGCCAUGAAUAUCGGAAGCGAAAACCACUGGCUGCUCUGCUUGCUGAAGGUCAUGACC